UAGUCUUUGUACCCGGCUUUGAUGAAGAUGACGAAUACAGGAAAGAAAAGUGAAAAAAGCUGAUUAGCGGAGAGAGCGAGGACGUAGGAAAACUUAAAAGAAGUCAAGGAAAAGACAAAAGAGCCUGAGGGCGAUUUGUGACGACGCAUGUCUUUAACGCAAUUCUGAAUCCUCGAGAAUCU
ensembl:ncRNA C35A5.12 ncRNA